rnacentral:rRNA from 1 species
UACGUAGGGUGCAAGCGUUGUCCGGAAUUACUGGGCGUAAAGAGCUCGUAGGCGGUUUGUCGCGUCGUCUGUGAAAACCAGCAGCUCAACUGUUGGCUUGCAGGCGAUACGGGCAGACUUGAGUAUUUCAGGGGAGACUGGAAUUCCUGGUGUAGCGGUGAAAUGCGCAGAUAUCAGGAGGAACACCGGUGGCGAAGGCGGGUCUCUGGGAAAUAACUGACGCUGGAGGAGCGAAAGCCGUGGGUAGCGAACAGGA